GGUAUAGUUCUUCGGAGCUAGAGACCGGCGCACGGGUGCGUAACGCGUAUGCAAUCUACCUUUUACAGAGGGAUAGCCCAGAGAAAUUUGGAUUAAUACCUCAUAGUAUUAUGAAAUGGCAUCAUUUUAUAAUUAAAGUCACAACGGUAAAAGAUGAGCAUGCGUCCCAUUAGCUAGUUGGUAAGGUAACGGCUUACCAAGGCUACGAUGGGUAGGGGUCCUGAGAGGGAGAUCCCCCACACUGGUACUGAGACACGGACCAGACUCCUACGGGAGGCAGCAGUGAGGAAUAUUGGACAAUGGGCGCAAGCCUGAUCCAGCCAUGCCGCGUGCAGGAUGACGGUCCUAUGGAUUGUAAACUGCUUUUAUACAGGAAGAAACCCUGGUUCGUGAACCAGCUUGACGGUACUGUAAGAAUAAGGAUCGGCUAACUCCGUGCCAGCAGCCGCGGUAAUACGGAGGAUCCAAGCGUUAUCCGGAAUCAUUGGGUUUAAAGGGUCCGUAGGCGGUUUAGUAAGUCAGUGGUGAAAGCCCAUCGCUCAACGGUGGAACGGCCAUUGAUACUGCUAAACUUGAAAUUAUUAGGAAGUAACUAGAAUAUGUAGUGUAGCGGUGAAAUGCUUAGAGAUUACAUGGAAUACCAAUUGCGAAGGCAGGUUACUACUAAUUGAUUGACGCUGAUGGACGAAAGCGUGGGUAGCGAACAGGAUUAGAUACCCUGGUAGUCCACGCCGUAAACGAUGGAUACUAGCUGUUGGGGGCAACUUCAGUGGCUAAGCGAAAGUGAUAAGUAUCCCACCUGGGGAGUACGUUCGCAAGAAUGAAACUCAAAGGAAUUGACGGGGGCCCGCACAAGCGGUGGAGCAUGUGGUUUAAUUCGAUGAUACGCGAGGAACCUUACCAAGGCUUAAAUGUAGUUUGACCGAUUUGGAAACAGAUUUUUCGCAAGACAAAUUACAAGGUGCUGCAUGGUUGUCGUCAGCUCGUGCCGUGAGGUGUCAGGUUAAGUCCUAUAACGAGCGCAACCCCUGUUGUUAGUUGCCAGCGAGUCAUGUCGGGAACUCUAACAAGACUGCCAGUGCAAACUGUGAGGAAGGUGGGGAUGACGUCAAAUCAUCACGGCCCUUACGCCUUGGGC
rnacentral:rRNA from 1 species